rnacentral:snRNA from 1 species
AGCUUUGUGCAGUGGCAGUAUUGUAGCCAAUGAGGUUCACCUGAAGCGCAAUUAUUGUUAAUUGAAAUCUUAUAAUGCAACACGGAAGCAGGCCAUAUUUAAGCAUCGUUUUCUGGCUGUGAGGACCCAAAAC